rnacentral:rRNA from 1 species
UCCGUAGGUGAACCUUGCGGAGGGAUCAUUACAGAGUUGCAAAACUCCCCAAACCAUCGUGAACGCUACCCAAACCGUUGCUUCGGCGGGCGGCGCCCUCGCGCGCCCCCCUGGGCCCGCACCGCGGGCGCCCGCCGGAGGUACACCAAACUCUAGAUAUGUUAUGGCCACUCUGAGUCUUCUAUACUGGAUCAGUCAAAACUUUCAACAACGGAUCUCUUGGUUCUGGCAUCGAUGAAGAACGCAGCGAAAUGCGAUAAGUAAUGUGAAUUGCAGAAUUCAGUGAAUCAUCGAAUCUUUGAACGCACAUUGCGCCCGCCAGUAUCCUGGCGGGCAUGCCUGUUCGAGCGUCAUUUCAACCCAUCAAGCCCACGGCUUGUGUUGGGGACCUGCGGCUGCCCGCAGGCCCUGAAAACCAGUGGCGGGCUCGCUAGUCACACCGAGCGUAGUAGCAUACGACCUCGCUCAGGGCGUGCUGCGGGUUCCAGCCGUAAAACGACCUUCGCAACCCCAAGGUUGACCUCGGAUCAGGUAGGAGGACCCGCUGAACUUAAGCAUAUCAAUAAGCGGAGGA